AGCAGAGUUGUGCUCUUUCUCGGGGCUCCACAGGAGGAUCCAUUCCUCGCCUCUUCCAGCUUCUGGUGGCUACUGGCUUUCCCUGGUUUGCGGUUGUAUAUUUUAGUUGCAGUUUCUUCUAGUUGUGGCAUGUGGGACACCGCCUCAACGUAGCCUGACAAGCAACGCCAUGUCCGCGCCCAGGAUCCGAAAUGGCAAAACCCUGGGCUGCCGCAGCAGAGCACACAAACUUAACCACUCGGCCAUGGGGCUGGCCCAGAAGAAUUAAAAUUUAAUGUUAUCCAAUUUAUCAAUGUUUUUCUCUGUGCCUACGAUAUUUAAGUCAUUUUUAGAAAUACUUACCAAUAUUAAUGCCAAAAAGACUUUUCUUUCUAAAAGUUUUAAAGGUUUUUGGAUUUUUCUUUUGCCUGUAUACUCAGAUCUCUUAUUUAUUUGGAGUUGAUGUUUGUUUUUAUUGUUAAGAUAAAGAUACAAUUUAAUUUUGUUAUAUGAAUAACCAAUUUUCAUAGUAUAAUUUAUUGGAUGACUAGUCUCCUCUGCCUAUGAAUUUCAAUGUAAAUUUAUAUAACAAUUUUACCUAUAUGAAUUUUCUGUUUCAUUGGUCAAUUUCCUUAUCUCUGUGCCAAUAACUUGCUUUUUAAUUACUUUAGUUUGAUGAUAGCCUGAUGUCUGUAGGACAAAUAGUUUGUGUCUUGCCUAUUCUUGGUUGUUGGCUUUUCCAUAUAAAUUUUCUUGACAGCUUCCUUGAAAAAAAUUCUAGCUCUUUACUUUUCUAUAUAUUUUUUUGUUAGGUUUCUUGAAAAAAUGUCUCUGUUGGAAAUUUAUUGGAACUCCACCUAAUUUUAGGUUAAUUUGUGGCAUACUGAUGACUUUAUGCUAUUGAAUCAUUUUACUCAUGAACAUGUAUAUUUUUCCAACGUUUAAAUUUAUUUAAUCAAAAUUUUGUAAUUUUUCUAUUAAUGCUAUUCAAGUCACUUGUGUUUAGUAUCUUAUACUUUAUUGCUAUAGAAAUUGAUGUAUUUUAUUUAAUAAGAUUUUACCACUCUAU
rnacentral:lncRNA from 1 species